rnacentral:rRNA from 1 species
UGGGGAAUAUUGGACAAUGGGCGAAAGCCUGAUCCAGCCAUGCCGCGUGUGUGAAGAAGGUCUUCGGAUUGUAAAGCACUUUAGGUUGGGAGGAAGGGCAUUAACCUAAUACGUUAGUGUUUUGACGUUACCGACAGAAUAAGCACCGGCUAACUCUGUGCCAGCAGCCGCGGUAAUACAGAGGGUGCAAGCGUUAAUCGGAAUUACUGGGCGUAAAGCGCGCGUAGGUGGUUUGUUAAGUUGGAUGUGAAAUCCCCGGGCUCAACCUGGGAACUGCAUUCAAAACUGACUGACUAGAGUAUGGUAGAGGGUGGUGGAAUUUCCUGUGUAGCGGUGAAAUGCGUAGAUAUAGGAAGGAACACCAGUGGCGAAGGCGACCACCUGGACUAAUACUGACACUGAGGUGCGAAAGCGUGGGGAGCAAACA